ACUAUUUAAAAAGAACGAACAGGUUCCGUAUUCUGCCUCAUCUCUCAAUACGUCAAGAUUUUUGGUCGUCGUCCCGUUUCGUUGAGCCUUCCGUCCCGCACGCGUCCAACUGGGCCAGGCCCAACUACAUCGUCGGAAUGGAAAGGAAACCCAGCACCCGAAACCCUGUCCUCGGAAGUCCACAUCCUCCUCCCCCCUACGCAGAUUCCACGAGCUGCACGUAGCUGCCGCCGCCGAACACCCUCUGCCUCCUCCCGCUUCCCUACCAUGUGGAGCUCUUCCUAUCCCUCUGAAUGCCUCCUCCUCUCCGGCCAGGAUGUUGGCUUGGAAGGCACAUCUGGGCAGGCCGGCGGAGUCUCAGUGCCGCCACGCCGGAUCGGGGAUUGCCAGCUCUCCACCGAGGCCGAACUUUGAGGCCCGACGCCUUGCCGCCGAUAGCAGCGCUGCCUUUGGAGCCGCUGGAGAUUGCGGAGCGCGGGGGGACGUCUACGCCGAGCCGGCCCGGGCAAGAUAUUCUCCCGCCGACCGAUGGAUCGACCCAGCAGGCAGCUAACCGCGCACGCGCGCAUGCUAUCUUCUUCUCACGUUCUCUGGUCUUUGGUUCCAUGUUCGAGUACUCAGAUGAACCGGCCAUACGUCAGUUGGAUGGUGUCAGUAUCCUUCUUCCUUUUCUCAAUCGAUGGGAUUCUCUUGUUUUUUAGAUCCGUCGGUUUCUUCUCCUGGCAUCAUGUAUGCCGUCAUCGUAGUGGUGUAUAGUCCUUGUUGCUAUUCUUUUUUAGUUAUUAUUAGCACGCUACAUGUUAAUUCGUACGGAUGGAUUUCAAUAAAAAGGUUGAAAGUUAAUUUCUUUUUCAAUUUUAUUAAAUUCAACGUGACCAACGUUUUCUUUGACGACAUAGACAAUUUAAAUGAUGGAAGUGAAAUCACAUGUGUAUACAUAUAACUUGAUACUUAAGGUUACUUGUAUAUCUUGACACUCGAUGGAGUCAGUCACAUAAAGAUGAGAGCUAUAUAUAAGAACCUGUGACUGCAAAUCAGCAAAUUGUGAAUCAAACCAGUGGCACGCGGACGAUAGCAUGCAAAUAUAGGUUGUUCUUCCUUCACACAGUGAUCCCAUUUCCUCCAGCUCACUUCGCUUCGCCCCUCCCGGGAGUUCCCAGUUGAAGUGGUAGAGAAGCGAGGCGAGCACGAUCUCCAUGCUGCCAUUGUCGCACGCACGGCUUCUCUACCACGGAAGCCCACUAUCUCCAUUCACGACGCAGUAGAAGCCAUUGUCCGUGUUGUAUGACGACCCAACGUCUGCGAGGAAGAAGAAUGCCAGCCUCGCUCCCAGUCUAGCUCGGAUGGCACCCCCUCCGCCUCGCCGUCAACUUGCCCACUUCAAUUCCGCCGGCCGUGUGGCAGGAUGUGACGUCCUCGCUCGCUCAAUCUCCUCACAGCCAUCAACAAUGGUGGUCUGAUGAGUAUCAGGUGUUAUGAGAAGUUAAAAGCUGCAAGAGAACAAUGAAGAAAGGCUGGCAAGAUUGUGCUCUCUAAAAGAUGCCCAUAUAGAUUGGCAACAACGACCACUGACUCAAGGUAUCGACAUGAAAUCAUGCUCAACCAGUUGGUAGCCUGGUAUUUCUUAGAGAGAUACUACUCACUACAUUGCUUGAUUGAAGAUUGACUUGCAUUGUACUCCACUACAGUUUUAUUACCCUUUGCAGAAUUUCAUUAUUUUGGACAGCCACAAAGAUAUUUUGUAGGCUGUCACAUAUAGUAUCGGAUCUCAUGCCCAUCAUUUAUGUAAACAGAGUUAUCAUGUAACUGACUCAAAAUAUUACCUGAGCUAGCCCGUGUCAUCGCUGCCAUUGUCCAAUCCUAUCAUUGUCAUCAUAUGGACCAGGACCUCAAAGCUGAGAAGUUCCUAUUUAUCGGCAAGGAGAAGGACUGAAGGAGGAGCCUCCACUUGCCAACCACAAAUCCAGGUAACUUUGUUUUGGUUGCACCUUAAGUGAUUGUUGUAAUAAAAAAAUCUAUCGUUGGCAUUUGAUAAUAAUAAUUAGUAAGUUACAUAAAUUGGAUGCCUUCCUACUUUUGAUGUACUUUGUAUUGAUCAACUCAAGUUCAUACAGAUAAGGAAGUUUGAUGCUAUAGAGUAGAGGAAUGCAUUUUUCACUGGCAUAUGUCGGCAUAUGAGCUUGCAUUUCUUCAUUAAAAAUUUAAGAGCAGUUGUUAGUCCCGGUUGUUUUGGGGUAACUGUACCAGCUCUUGUGAGUUAGAUGUGUUGGAUACUAGCAUAUAGUUGGAUAGUUUGAUAGUAACUCUUGGUAAGUUAAAUUAGAAGUAACCUGACAAAAGAAAUCCCUGUGGGGUUCUAUCUAUACCAAAGAUCUUGCUACCUGCUCAUUGCAUUGUCGUUGAUAAAUAAUGUGUCUUCCUACUUGGGAGGUUGCAUUCAUGCGAUUGAGUGACUGCUAAAGUAUGCUCGAUUUUCCUAUUGUCAAAAAAUACUCAAUGUACAUCACUUGAGUAGCACUGCUUUGUUUGUACAGGGCAUAGCUAUAGUAUUUAAGGUAUGUCAUUUAGACAUCGGGAAAAUUUGCUACAGGACACCGUUAUUUUCUGGCAUUUGCCAAAACACACCACCCGAUUGUGUCUUUGCCAGGUACCAUUACAAUUCUGUGGCACAUUUGCCAGAACACACCACCUGGCCGAAAACGGAAAGUUAUGCUUUUUGUCUUCAAAACCAG